rnacentral:lncRNA from 1 species
UGUGGACUGCAUCAUGUGGUGUACUUCUCUGAAGGACAGUGUUCUGUCCGACACUGGAGUAGUGAUCAGAGCUGUGUUGUGAUGGGCCAGGUCCAGUAGAGCUGUGUUGUGAUGGGCCAGGUCUAGUAGAGCUGUGUUGUGAUGGGCCAGGUCCAGUAGAGCUGUGUUGUGAUGGGCCAGGUCCAGUAGAGCUGUGUUGUGAUGGGCCUGGUCUAGUAGAGCUGUGUUGUGAUGGGCCGGGUCUAGUAGAGCUGUGUUGUGAUGGGCCAGGUCUAGUAGAGCUGUGUUGUGAUGGGCCAGGUCCAGUAGAGCUGUGUUGUGAUGGGCCAGGUCCAGUAGAGCUGUGUUGUGAUGGGCCUGGUCUAGUAGAGCUGUGUUGUGAUGGGCCUGGUCUAGUAGAGCUGUGUUGUGAUGGGCCGGGUCUAGUAGAGCUGUGUUGUGAUGG